AGGACAAACGCUGGCGGGGUGCAUGAGACAUGCAAGUCGAACGAGGCACUGUUGAGCUUGCUCGACGGUGUCCUAGUGGCGGACGGCUGAGUAACGCGUAGGUGACCUACCCGGAAGUGGGGAAUAACUGCCCGAAAGGGUGGCUAAUACCGCAUGUGGUCGACGAUUCGAUUCGUCGUCCAAAGGAGCAAUUCGCUUCCGGAGGGGCCUGCGUCCGAUUAGCUAGUUGGUGGGGUAACGGCUUACCAAGGCGACGAUCGGUAGCUGGUCUGAGAGGAUGAUCAGCCAGACUGGGACUGAGACACGGCCCAGACUCCUACGGGAGGCAGCAGUCGGGAAUUUUGCCCAAUGAGCGAAAGCUUGAGGCAGCAACUCCGCGUGAGGGAUGAAGGCUCUAGGGUCGUAAACCUCUUUUCUCAGGGAAGAUACAAGACGGUACCUGAGGAAUAAGCCACGGCUAACUACGUGCCAGCAGCCGC
rnacentral:rRNA from 1 species